UACGAAGGGGGGCUAGCGUUGCUCGGAAUCACUGGGCGUAAAGCGCACGUAGGCGGAUCUUUAAGUCAGGGGUGAAAUCCCAAGGCUCAACCUUGGAACUGCCUUUGAUACUGGGGAUCUCGAGUCCGGAAGAGGUGAGUGGAACUGCGAGUGUAGAGGUGAAAUGCGCAGAUAUCAGGAAGAACACCCGUGGCGAAGGCGGCUCGCUGGGACGGUACUGACGCUGAGGCGCGAAAGCGUGGGGAGCGAACAGG
rnacentral:rRNA from 1 species